rnacentral:rRNA from 1 species
AGUGGCGGACGGGUGAGUAACGCGUGGGUAACCUGCCUCAUACAGGGGGAUAACAGUUAGAAAUGACUGCUAAUACCGCAUAAGACCACAGCACCGCAUGGUGCGGGGGUAAAAACUCCGGUGGUAUGAGAUGGACCCGCGUCUGAUUAGCUAGUUGGUAAGGUAACGGCUUACCAAGGCGACGAUCAGUAGCCGACCUGAGAGGGUGACCGGCCACAUUGGGACUGAGACACGGCCCAA